GGGGACAUGGUCUAGUGGUAUGACGGAUCCUUAGCAUAUUCUGAACAAUUGCACUCCAGUUGCCCUCAGGAGCCAAUGGAUCAGGUCCGGGGUUCGAUUCCCCGUGUCUCCA
rnacentral:tRNA from 1 species